rnacentral:tRNA from 1 species
GCCUUCGUGGUGUAGCGGUCAGCACGCUGGACGGGUAUUCCAGAGGUCCAAGGAUCGAGUCCCGGCGAAGACG